AUUGAUUAAGACCAAAUGAAUGCGCCGCUCAUUCUUCUUCUGAAUAGUGUACAAUAGAAUUGUUCAAAAAACAAACUGUCAUAUUAUUCAUACAUAUGUAGAUCAUAUAUGAAAACAUGCUAACUAUUAAGCAUAUACUCCGGCUUCUGCGGGUAAACUACUGACUCGAACAAUUUUUUGAAAAUGUCCUUCCUCUCACAUGGCUCUUGUUUGGCAUACUUGAUCUUGCAAUUGACUACUUGUGUCCUCAAAUUUUACAUCAAUACGUUUAGUCUCAAACUCUCCAUAUUCCCAGACUUUAACUUCAUGUCAUCCUUGUGGCUGCAUGAACAGUACUUUUAUCUUUGGCGUAGCCAACACUGAGCCUCCAUGUUCAAGGUUUGGCUUUUGCACUAACACUUCAGGUAUUUUUGGGCACUCUUUUUCUUAUUUUCCAGAUUUAUUGUUUUCAUUUUCUUCAUCUUCCAAGUCUGAUAAUACAAUAGAUUUCCGCCUUAUUUUUCUGCUACCGACACUUGUUGAUGUAUUUUUAUGUUGAUGCUCCUUCUGAGGUUCUGUACUCCCGUUUUAUCUUCUGGAUCCUAUUUCGCAGGGACCAACUCGCAUGUGUUCUUGGUAAGCUCACAUUUGCUGAUUUGUACGUGCAGAAAUCACAUGAAUGGAUGAACUAAGAGACGGAUUUAUUUAAGGAAAAGUUUGUACAAUGAAGUAUUCAUUCACCUUUUUAACUGGCUCAUUCUGUUUAUUUGAUUCUUGUUUUAACAUGUCCGCCUCAUCAUCCAUCAAAUCCUGUUGAGCACAAUGGAUAAAGAACAUAAAUAUCUGCUUCCAUUGUUUCAUAUAAAAAGGGUAUAAUAAUUGGUGUACAAAUAAUAAAUUUAAUGAUUUAAUCAACCAUCACCUCUUCAGCUUUAUCGUCUAAGUAUCGCUUUUCAAGCCUCUCAUGAGGCACAAAUGUUUUUUUACUGUAUAGUUUUGUAUACCUAGAGUGAAGUUCUUAUUGUUGAGUUUGAACCGAAAGAUAAGUCUUUGUCCACAUAAUUCACAUAUAAUCUUUGCGACUUCUUCAGAUCUUCCGUCUAAGAAAGUCAACAGGAAUGAGACUGAUAUAUUGAAACUUUCAGCCUCUUCAUCAAAUAAAGAAAACAACCUUAUUAAUGAAAAGUUGACGCAUAGAUAUACACUUAUUCUCGCAUAAGAAUUCCGAUCUCACGUAUAUCUAAAGUUGUUGUUUUGUUGUUGUCAUCCUUGAUUCUAUUGGUUUAAUCUUGGUAAGAACCCAAUGACAUCUGCAAAUUUUAAGAUUAAUGACUUCAAAAUUAGAAAGUUAAUCAUUGGGAGUAUAUUAGCACAACUACCAACAUAUGACUUCAAAUUAAAAAUAACCACUUGGAAGUAAGAAAUAUGACUACCAACAUACCUGAGCAUUGUUGGUAUUUUUCUAGCUGUUCUUGUAGGGUAUCUUUGCUAGCAAACUCGAAGUACUAAUCUGGAAAAUUAUCCGAGGAACCUUUCAUCUUCGUUAGGUCUGUUUUGUAUAGAAUUGUUUUUAGUUUCUUCGUUGACUGGGCGAUAUUUUGUCGGAUCUACAACUUUAAAAUUGCUAAAAGCAUAUAUGGAACCCUCGUUGAUCUUCGAUCUAUAAGUUUCCAUUAGAUUCUUCUAGAUAGUAGCAUGAAUUGUAUCACCCUUCAAAACUGAAUGAAGAUAAUCUUAGAAAUAAUUUUGAUAGUAGAAGAAAUACCAUUGUUAUAAUGUGAAGAAAAUACCUGCUCAUCCAUCUAGAUCAUAUCAAUGCUUAUAAGUUCAUCAGGUGAAGGGUUGAUUGAAUCCCACAUUCUCAUUACUUUGGCUUUAUUAUUCAAUGUGUGUCCUCUUGUGGUUAGCUCACUCAACUUCUUGUACGCCAUAGGUUGUUGCCUUCAAAACAAUUAUAAAAAAGAGUGAUUCAUCUGAUAAUGCACCAAUAAAAUUUUGGUUUAAAAAAUGUUCUAACUAAACAAUGAACAUGAAAAUAGGGUGUUUGUAAGGAAGUUGCGAAGAAAGCUGUGAUGGGAAGAUUUGAGCAGACAUCAAGCAGUUAUAUAUACUACCCAUAGUAGAUGAUGUUUCUAUUGUUCCUUCUACAGGCCUUCGAUGUGUCGGUCGUCUUGCCAUUCCCUUGGAUACGCCGGGUGUCCUGCCGAUCUUGCCGGUGCAACUGAUCGUCCUCGACAUGUGUGGAUAUGUUGUUACCCAAAUUUGAUGAUGUUUUUGUUGUUUCUUCUUCGGGCCUUUGAUGUGCUGGGCGUCCUGGGGAGGCGUCGACCUUGCCGAUGCAACUGGUUGUCAUUGGCUUGUGUCGAUCUGCCUUCAAUCUGUUGUGCGCGUGAUGUGACGUGUGAAGGCGCGUGUUGAUUGCUAGGCGUGAUGUCGUGUAUGUUUUGCUCUUCUGGGCGUGUGCCCACCUAUUCAUAUACUAGUAGAAUGCCCGUGCGUUGCUACGGGCUACAGUGCAUACAAAUGAAUCAAACCAGUGGUUAAGGUCGUCUUCAAGGUUGAAUCUCAUUUAUCGCUCAUUGUGUAUGUUCAUACAUUAAACGGGUGGCUAGCAGGCUCCCCAAAAUUCAACCAUCUGAACAGUCCAG
rnacentral:lncRNA from 1 species